UAAAACUAAUAUCUAAUCUGGUAAAACUAAUAUCUAAUCUGGUAAAACUAUGCAUACGCUUAAAGAUCCGGCAGCUGUUUUCCAUGAAUAUGAAGAUCAUCUCCUGAAAAAUGAAUCCUCAGAAGAUUUAUUAUUCUUCAACAAUAUUUCUGUCGAGCACUGCACAACAGAAUAUUGGGGAGUUCCCCCUGAUUUCAGGGGAAACUGUACUCCAGAGUUUUUGAAGGAUUCCUGGUUCAAAAGUUUUUAUCUCACGAAUAUAUUUGUUAUUAUAGCAAUAGGAGGGAUUGGAAAUCUACUAACGAUUGUAUCUGUUUCCUACGUUUUCUUAAGGUACCCUUCGACCAGAUUUAAGUAUCCAUGGAUAAAAAAUCCUAUAACAAUUCUUAUCCUUCAUCUCUCCUUCUGUGAUCUGCUGUACUGUUUGUUCGGUUUACCUUUCUUAACCCUGCCACCUCUCUACGGGUAUUUUCCCUUCUCUAAGCGCACUUGCCGCGUAACAUCACUUCUCAGGAAUCUCAACGCCUACGCAGAAUUUUUAACCAUUGCACUCAUUGCAUUAUUAAGACUAAAAGGAAUGUUGAGAGAACGGUACAAAUCUCCUCAGCUUGGAACUAGUUUCUUGACACCCUGUAGGAUGAUUUUAUUCUGCUGCUUAAUCUGGAUCCUCGCAUUUAUCAUCAUAUCUCCGAUAGUAUUCCAAGUCAAGAGACCGGUAGAUUUCGGUAGGUUCGGAUACAACCCUGUCGGAAUAUGCAACGUUGAGCCCAGUAUUUCGUCGGAUUCCAGAGCAGGAUUGGUUUUCUUGAUAGGGUUUUCAGUCCCCUGUCUUCUUAUUAAUAUAUCCUAUAUCAGCCUCUCCUGUAUCCUUAAACAUAGAUCAAGGAGAAUAAGAAACGUGUUAGAGGCUCAACAAACUGCAGACACGGAGAAAGUGAGCAAACUGUUAAUGUUUCUCAGUAUCAGUUAUGUAGUACUAGUUGGAUCACUCACUCCAAUAGAAUGGGCUGAUACCUACAUGAAGAAUAGUACAAUAAAAGCAUAUAUAACCCUGUUCUCCUUUUCUUGGUAUUGGUGGAACUAUACUAUUCACUUUCUAGUUAUAUCCCUGUAUUUCAAGGAUUUCUCCCAAAUCUAUUCUGUCUUUUUGAAAGAUUUGUUCUCUCUUCUCUCUUCCUGUCUCACAUCCCGAAAUAAUCAAUCCACCAAUUCAGCUGGAAGAGCUAGAGCAGCUGAUGCAGCUGAAGCAGCUGAAAUAGCUGGAGGAGUUGGAAUAACAAACCACGGUUUCCAAAUAAAUAACUUUUAUGUUUUCGGUGAAAAUUCAAAUAUUUUGAGAUCUGUAAAUGCAUACAGUAUGGAUAAACUUAAUAUAGAAGUGAAUGGGUCACGUGUUCAUAAACAAAAUCAAUCAAUGAAUGAAAAAUUAAACGCCCGUAAACUUAUAUCCCUGAACAAGAGUACACCCUGCAGUACGGUUGAGUGCAAUAAAGAACCGGUUCAAACAAUUGUUUAUCAUGCAAAAAAGAAUCUGAAAAAAUGUAAUUCCGUUUGAUUAAUUUUCUAUCUCAAAAUGUUAAAAGUAUCAAUGCAGAAAUGUGAUAACAAAGCUAUUAAAUCAAAAAGAUAUUUUAUAACUUAAGACAAUAUAUUUAAACAUUUUUAAUAAAGUAGCUACAGGGUUGCCCACAAAGGAUGAGACUUAAGAGAUGACUAUACGGAAUUUACACUGUAUAUUUCCUGAUAUUCAUGGAGUCCCGGCCACACUAAACUUCUUUCAGAGUUUCACGUCGUCUUUACAGUCUCAUACGUUGUUUGGAACCCUUUCUGUAUCUUUGGAAACUUUCCUGACAAUCGAUUGACAUGGGUCGCAUUGUACUGUACAUUAUCUUUCCUGAACUCAACUUUUCCAGUUUUUUCUUCUGUUUUUAAGCAUUUUAAGCAGGUAAUGGAAUGUCAGUACGUAGGAUUUAUGUAGGUAUGAAGUUAAGGUAGGAUGUAGGUAGGUAGGAUGUAGGUAGGUAGGAGAAUGAGGUAGGAUUUUAGGUAGGUAGGAAGUUGAGGUAAUAUGUAGGUAGGUAGGAAGUUGAGGUAGGAUUUAGUUAGGUAGGAAGUUGAGGUAGGAUGUACGUAGGUAGGAUGGAGGUAGGUAGGAAGUUGAGAUAGGAAGUUAGGUAGGUAGGACGUUGAGGUAGGAUGAAGGUAGGUAGGAAGUUGAGGUAGGAUGUAGGUAGGUAGGAAGUUGAGGUAGGAAGUUAGGUAGGUAGGAAGUUGAGGUAAGAUGUAGGUAUGUGGGAUAUAGGUAGGUGAAUAAGUGUCUAGGUUUAAAUACAUUUUUGAUUUACGUAAAAGUAUGAUAAAGGCAAAUUUAUCUGGUUUUAUUCAAGAAACUCAUUUUUGUUCUUCUCGUGGAAAACAUGAAAGAUUUUAAUCUUACGUGAACUUUACUUUAAUUUGACGUGUUCGUCCCUUGUUCUCUCCUUCCUAGUUUUAUUACCGCCUGAGGGGAGCACACACCCAGACAACUUUUAAUUUAGAUGAGAAAUUACGGAAAAAGACCGGAAAUGAGGAGAAAACGAGCGAAAAGGCAAGACUAUAAAAUUAACCAAAAUAAUGGCUAAUUGAGCGCCCGGGGUGUAGGGUUGUUUUGUUAGAUCGUAUAUCUAUACAGUUUAAACAUUUGAUAAUACAUAGGCAGCGAAAAAAUGAAAUACGAAUAAAAAUUGUGAUGAAACAAACCCGUAAACUAGAAACAUUAGAAUGCAAUAAAUAUUCGGUAAUGGGAAA